GUAAGGAAUAUUGCUCAAUGGGAGAAAUCCUGAAGCAGCAACGCCGCGUGGAGGAUGAAGGGUCUAUGACUUGUAAACUCCUGUAAAGAAGGAAAAAAUUCCCAUUUGAUGGGAGAUGAUGGUACUUCUGGAGUAAGCCCCGGCUAACUACGUGCCAGCAGCCGCGGUAAUACGUAGGGGGCAAGCGUUGUCCGGAUUUACUGGGUGUAAAGGGUGCUCAGGCGGAUUUGUAAGUCAGAGGUGAAAUCUUACAGCUUAACUGUGAAACUGCCUUUGAUACUGCAAGCCUAGAGUAUGGAAGAGAGUGAUGGAAUAUCUGGUGUAGCAGUGAAAUGCGUAGAUAUCAGAUAGAACACCAAUGGCGAAGGCAGUCACUUGGUCAAUUACUGACGCUAAAGCACGAAAGCGUGGGUAGCAAACA
rnacentral:rRNA from 1 species